rnacentral:lncRNA from 1 species
AGACCAGAAAGAUUAGUCCUCUUUAUAUACAAAAACAGGUUUGGAGAGAGGAUUGUCAAAGAGGUGGAGAGGCAGCCUCAGAGAGAGAGAGAGAACAACCUCGGAUGAGUCAUUCAACUCUGCUAAACUUCAACUUACCCAAAUGAAAAUGAAGAUAAUGAUACCUGUUCUUAUAAGGUCAGGCAGGUAUCAUUGUUAUGACAGCAAAUGAGAUGCUUCAUCUGAAAGCGCUAACCAACCUUGAGACAGUAUUUAAUCCCACUGAAGACACCUCUGUUCAUGAGCUUUGGUGCAGAAACUAGUUUUCAGAAACAAAUCAGUUUAAAAAAAGUACUUAAAAUUUACUUAUGUAGAGUUUAUUUGCAUUACAUUCCUAGAAACAAUGUUUGGUUUUGAAAAGAGCAUAGAUACACUAUGUUUGGCUGUAAUGUGAUAAUUGUGUUUCCAAGAAAGCUUAUACUGUUAGAGAUUAUUUUAUAAACUAUUGAUUCAGUGGGAAAAGUUUGGGAAUGAAAGUUGGAUGGUUUCAGAUUUACAACUGAAAAGUUAUUUUUCUUCUGUUCUUCACUGCAUAAAAGAAACAAACUGUGAACUCGGACUUUACAUCAAAUACAAAUCAAAACCACAAUGAGAUACCAUCUCACCCCAGUUAAAACAGCUAUUAUCAAAAGGAUGAGAGAAGUGAAGUGCCCAAUUCAGCCCAAGUACACUUUGUCAUUUCUCCCAUGUAUCUCUUUACCCAUUAACUUUUGAGGGAAAGAACCGCGUUGUUCAUUUCCUUGUAUCUUCAGAUCCCUGUACUAGCUGAACGCUUACCGGAUGUGUAAUAAAUAUUCCUUGAAGAGUUGGGUAAUUACUCUCUUGAACUCCUGGGUAUCUCAUCCCAACUACUCCCCCAUCUGCGAGGUACCUGUUAAAUUAUUUUAUGCCA